rnacentral:rRNA from 1 species
AGGUCAGGACACGGUAAGGAUUGACGGACUGAAGGCUCUUUCUCGAUUCCGUAGGAAGUGGUGCAUGGCCGUUUUUGGUUGGUGGAUCGAUCCGUCUGGUUAAUUCCGUUAACGAACGAGACCUCGGCACUCCGAAUAGCGCGGCGGACGUCGCGGCCUCCGGGCCGUCUUCCGCACGAGCUUCUUAGAGGGACCGUCCCCCCGCCGGGGAAGGAGGUGCGAGGCAACGACAGGUCUGUGAUGCCCUUAGAUGUUCUGGGCCGCACGCGCAUUACACUGACGCGUCCAACGGGUGACUCCCGACCCGAAGGGGCCGGGGAAUCCGCAAGGCGCGUCGUGAUGGGGAUUGAACGUUGCAAUUGUUGUUCACGAACGAGGAAUUCCUAGUAGGCGCGGGUCAUCAACCCGCGCCGAUUACGUCCCCUGCCCUUUGUACACACCGCCC